rnacentral:tRNA from 1 species
GCUUGGGUGGCAGAGACCGGUAAUUGCAAAAGGUCUAAGCCCUUUUAACAGAGGUUCAAGUCCUCUCUCAAGUA